AUAUGGCGUGCAGCCACUGAGCAUCCAGCCAAAGCGCACCCAUCGUUUUCUUGCUUUGCCAUUUUUUUCUCAUUUCUCAACCCAAACCCACCAAAAAAAAAAAAAAAAAAAUGAACGAAAAUUCCAACUCCACCAACAGAGGCGAAGCUGAGCGCCUGCUCGGAGUCGCCGAGAAACUCCUCCAAUCCCGUGAUUUCAGCGGUACAAGAGACUUCGCCGUCUUGGCCCAAGAAACAGAGCCUCUCCUUGAAGGCCCAGAUCAGAUCUUGGCCGUCGCCGACGUCCUUUUGUCCGCCGAGAAGCGCAUUAAUAACCACCACGAUUGGUAUGCGAUCUUGCAAAUUGACCGCCGGUCCGAUGACCAGGAUCUAUUAAAGAAGCAGUACCGUCGGUUUGCAUUACUUCUCCAUCCAGACAAGAACAAGUUCCCUUUCGCAGAUCAAGCUUUUAAGCUUGUCGCAGACGCUUGGGCUGUCUUAUCGGAUUCAGCUAAGAAAUCACUAUACGAUAACGAAUUGAGCUUGUUUUCUAGGGUUGAUUUAACAAAUUCAGGAAAAUUACCGGUCAGAAGGAGCCAGCGACCAGCAUCGAAGAAACACACAGGCGAGAGCGUUAAAACUUCUGUUAGUAGUAGUAAUAGCUCAGCGGAUCGGAGUCAAAGGAUGAAGCUAUCGUCUUUUUGGACUGCUUGUCCAUAUUGUUUUAUUUUAUAUGAGUACCCUCGGAUUUACCAGGACUGUUGUUUAAGAUGCCAGAAUUGCCAGAGGGCGUUUCACGCGGCGUUGAUACCGUCGUUACCGCCGUUAGUGCCCGGGAAGGACGCCUAUUACUGCUGCUGGGGUUUUUUCCCUUUGGGCUUUAUGUUUGGGAAUCCAGAAAGUGGUGCGAAAACCUCCGGGUCUGGGGCUGCGUCUGUUUUUCCAAACUGGAUGCCUCCAAUUUUUGGCCCGGGGCAGCAAAGUAGUGAUAAAAAUGAUGGCAGCACCUCUACACCGCCAGCCUUUACCUCUGGGAACCAAGUGGGUGAUAGAAAUGGUACUGUGAGAGCAACUUCAGUACCAACACCAACAGCAGCAGCAGCAGCAGCACCAGCUCCAACACCGGUAAGGUCAGGGGCGGGUAGAGGCGGUGGAGUAGUUGGGAGUUCGGAUGGGAGUGGCACUGGGUUUGCCGCAAAGAAAAGGGGAAGGCCAAGAAAAUAUCCCCUACAAAAUGUUUGAUAUAAAUUACAAGAGAAGGAAUGAGAGAAGAUGGAGGAAGUUUUUAUGGCCUGAAUUGGUAAGAGGUAUAGAAGUCUCAAGCAAGAGGGCUUUAUAGCUGGCACACUAUGGGGAAGUCCAUAGGCCAAAAUUUGAAUGCUUUUAACGUUUGUUUCAUGCUCUGCACCUUGGUAGUUGGUGGAUGAUUAGAGAUGUCUAAGUUAUGAAUGAAAUCGCGGUAGCCAUGUCCUAUAAGGUCAUUUGGGGAUGAACAAAACCACCUGUUUGGUGGUUUUGCCUCCCUGCUAUGAGCUAUGGAGCAUCCUUGCUUUGUAUAUUUUAAUUAUACCGUGAUUUGUAUUUUUGUAUUUCUAACUUGCAUACUCAUGAAUCCUGGAUGGAUAGACAACAGAUAAGGCGAGACUUUCAUCUAUCACAUGGGUUUCGAACAAGGUUUGUAUGUAUUGGUAAAAGAAAUGAAUUCCCAUCUAUUGGUAAAAACUUUAUAUUAA